rnacentral:lncRNA from 1 species
UUUUCUUUUCAUAAAAAUUUCAUGCUUGCAAUCAAAUGCCCCAUAACUUCCAGUCAAAGGAAUAAAAUCUAAAAGCAGUUAAGGAGUUAUUACUUCCUGUACAAACGUGAAAAAAGAAGGAAAAAUGACCUAAAGGCCUUUAAGCCUGAGAAGCUCAUGAUGUCUAUCAAUCUGUUUUAGGACGUGAAGUUAUCGGGACAAAUUUAGAUUAAGCAUCUGAUGCAUAGGUCCUCUAGGGAUAUCCCAGAAUUGAAAGAUUCAUUUUCCGGGGGCACCAAACUACAUGGGUGAAAACCAGCUCAAAUGAUUUCAUAACUAAGGUCUUACAACAAAGUAUUUUUGAAGUNNN